GUUCGACCCAAAACACGAUAACUCCAAAUCCAAACAUAAACAGUAAACACGUUCUCAUCUUUCUCGGUUCCACCUUCUUCUCCGACGACACGACUGUGCCUACGCUCUACGACCGUCGGAACCUAGCCACCGCCGAAUCAGUCGAUCGUUGCCGUCCAUCGACGCGCCUCAUCCUCGCUCUCGCUGUCGCCACCCCUCGUCUCAAUGCCGGAACCCUAGCCGCCGCCGAAUCUGUCGAUCGUUGCCGGCGACGCCGAGGAGGAGGACGAGUCGGCUCUCGACCUCGAGCUCCAAUACAGCUUCCAGUGGAAUUUCAAGGUUCAAAGUGAUCAUUUCGAGGAGUUUUUCACCCUUGAAUUAGACAAACAUGGUUAUGAAGCUUUAUACAAGAAAAAAACGAUCGAGGUUUAUGGUGGGAAUAUCAAUACAAUAGAUGGUUGUGCUACAUUUUUUCACAAAGACAGGUUUUCUAAU